AAGAAGAAGAGGAGGGUGAUGAUGAAGGGAACCAGAAGGCUCUGAGUUGGUCAGAUACCAAGAAGAUGCCAAUGACUUCAAGGGUUAUUCAGGAGACACUUAGAGUUGCUUCCAUCUUAUCUUUUACUUUCAGGGAAGCUGUGGAAGAUGUUGAAUAUGAAGGUCAGUUAAAAAAAUUGAAGUAAAUGAUGUAGUUUUUACUUGAAAGUUAAAAUCUGUUCUAGCCUAAUUAAAAUUGAAACUUAUUUUUCAGGUUAUCUUAUACCAAAAGGGUGGAAAGUUUUACCACUUUUCAGAAACAUUCACCACAGCCCAGAAAUCUUUCCUGAACCUGAGAAGUUUGAUCCCUCAAGAUUUGAGGUGAAUAUAGUUUGAUACUAUAUGCAUAUAAUUUCAUAUAUCUGUGUUCUGUUCCUCUAAAACUGCAAAAAAAACUUUCUUAUAACGAGAAUAGUAUUGUUUUGUACUUUUCAGCCAAUAAUACAAGAAUGCGUGAAAAAGUUAUUUCGCGUAUCAUUGCGUUAUUUGUCAAAAAUAACAAAAAGU
rnacentral:lncRNA from 1 species